rnacentral:lncRNA from 1 species
GUUUACUUCUGUUUUCACCUGCAAGUGCCUACUGAUAAUAACACACGCUAUCCUUUUCCCUAACAGGCUAUGUGAGUCAAGGAUGGAACGAUGGUCCCAGAACAUCCCAGGAGGGUGUGACAGCCUCCAUCUAGAAGGUUCUAUCCUCAGGUCCCCAAGGCAUCUGCAGCACACCGUCCUCUGCUGUGGGUCUGUGAAGCAGCCACUCCAGCAGCAGGACAGUGGUGCCUGUCCAUUCCCUCUGCUAGCUGCCAGCCCUGCUGUCCUCCGCACUUUCUGGCAACCUCACUGUAUGAAACUCCCCAAAUCCUCCUCCACGUCAAGUGUCAAAACAGCCCAGUUUAAGUGCUUUCAGGAUUUCCACGGAGCCUGACCGCAAAGAGGUGAGCACAUUUAAGCCCCUACUCCCAGCCCAGCCCCCUGCAUCAGAGUUCCAGGGCUGACUCUGCAGAGGGGAAGCAGCCUCCUCCCAGAGGCAGGCACACAGUAGGUGCUCAAGCAAUAGGAUUUCUGCCAUUUCCACACUUUUGGAAGAACCUGCCCAUCCCCCAUCCUCUGCCCGCUCUCAAGGACCGUCAUCCUGAACUUGGCUCCCACUCACGCGGACGAGCCCUCCAGCUUGCCGUAGAGCCAGCCGUUCUGGGCCUCGGGCACCAACACCUCCACCACGUCCCCAGCGGAGAAGCGCAGCAGCGUGUGGUUGGCGCCCUCCGAGUGGGAGACCAGGGCGCGGACUCUCCUGGCGCCCCCGCCGCCGCCCGGGCGCUCGCCAAAGGAGUUGGAGCGCGAGCUUUGGGCGCUGCCGCUGUAGAGCGAGGCUGUGGGCGGGAGAGCGCGGCGGCACGUGGGCAGGAAGUUCUUCCUGGCGUCUGCCCUCGAUCCCUCCUGCUGCAGCCCCACCCCCGCGCCUCUCCCGGCCCUCCUGCCGCCCCGGGGCGG